rnacentral:lncRNA from 1 species
CAUGCUCUGCCAGGCAAACGAGUGGGCUUUUUUAUUGUUGUUUGGCUGUUCCUUGGUCCAAUUUGAUCCACAGAGGAUUUGGAUCUAUAAAAUCCGUUUGGCUGGGCGAAAAGAGGAGGGCAGGAGAGGGCAGAAAGGAGGGUGGAGAUGAUGGAAGUAUGCAUGUAUUAAAGUGCCACAGCGAGACCUGUUAAUUCAUGCAAUUAAUAUGUGUUAAUAGCUAUAAUUUAAAAAAAAAGAAAGAAAAAAAUCCAUCCAGAAGGUCACAAGGGGCAGACACAGCUGUGUUAGUGGCCCAGCAUGGGAAGCUGGAGGCAAGUGGGAGCCCAGAGUUAAAUAACUGCCUCUGUCAAUUACAGUAGCAGCUGGAGCCACCACGUGCAGCAUAGGGUCAUGCCUGCCGCCACAGGGCCCAGCUGACCUGAAAAAUCUGCUCUAGAACACAUCCGAGAGAGGCUACAGCUCUUCUGAGGAUACCUGCAGCAGCCCCAUUAUUUUCUUGGCAAUACAGGUGAACAAGGUUGUCACAAUCAGGUAAGCUGAGAGCAGAGUAUAGAGACGGUGCCAUUUUUUUUUUUUUUUGUCCUAGCACCGGGGAUUGAACCCUGGGUCAGUCUACCACUGAGCUCCAUCCCCAGCCCUUUUUAUUUUUAUUUUUAUUUUUGACACAGGAUCUCAUUCUGCUGCCCAGGCUGUUCCUGAGCUCCUGGACUCAAGCAAUCCGGCUUCAGCCUCUAGAGUUGCUGGGACUACAGGUGUGCCCGGCUGUCCCCGGCUACUGGUGCAUUUUUCUGGUUGCCUUUUCAAGAAAGCCUAACAAAAUCUUAAUCCAUUGAGCUGUCAACAAGCUAUCAAGUUCUCGGAUGUGUAAAUCCCGCCUCGCAUAAAAGUUAGUAUUUGUUAGACCGCAGCAGACAUUCCUGAGGAUUUUCUUUGCCUUGGCCGAUUCUUCUCUUACACAACAGCUUCCUUCCCUCAAAACCUCAGAAAACAUCCUCCCCUGCUCCGUACAGUCAUACAGGAUUUCUGCCGUCUCCAAAUGAGUUUUUCUACUGGUGUACAAUAUUGCAUGAUAAAAAAAAAUUAAAUAGUAAAAUUCUAUGUUAUAUAUAUUUUGCCACAGCAGCAAUAAUAAUAAAACACGAAGAACAACUGGAGGGAAAAGGGAGAAAGAAUUUGUAAGGGAGGUUGAGAAGUACAGUCACAGGGGGAAGCAAAGGCCAC